UACGGAGGGUGCAAGCGUUAAUCGGAAUUACUGGGCGUAAAGCGCACGCAGGCGGUCUGUCAAGUCGGAUGUGAAAUCCCCGGGCUCAACCUGGGAACUGCAUUCGAAACUGGCAGGCUGGAGUCUCGUAGAGGGAGGUAGAAUUCCAGGUGUAGCGGUGAAAUGCGUAGAGAUCUGGAGGAAUACCGGUGGCGAAGGCGGCCUCCUGGACGAAGACUGACGCUCAGGUGCGAAAGUGCGGGUAUCGAAC
rnacentral:rRNA from 1 species